CAGUCGCCACGGUAAUACGAAGGGGGCUAGCGUUGCUCGGAAUUACUGGGCGUAAAGGGAGCGUAGGCGGACAUUUAAGUCAGGGGUGAAAUCCCGGGGCUCAACCUCGGAAUUGCCUUUGAUACUGGGUGUCUUGAGUAUGAGAGAGGUAUGUGGAACUCCGAGUGUAGAGGUGAAAUUCGUAGAUAUUCGGAAGAACACCAGUGGCGAAGGCGACAUACUGGCUCAUUACUGACGCUGAGGCUCGAAAGCGUGGGGAGCAAACAGGAUUAGAUACCCCUGUAGUCCCUGUCUCUUAUAC
rnacentral:rRNA from 1 species